rnacentral:rRNA from 1 species
GAUGAACGCUGGCGGCGUGCCUAACACAUGCAAGUCGAGCGAUUCUCUUCGGAGAAGAGCGGCGGACGGGUGAGUAACGCGUGGGUAACCUGCCCUGUACACACGGAUAACAUACCGAAAGGUAUGCUAAUACGAGAUAAUAUGUCUUUUAUCGCAUGGUAGAAGUAUCAAAGUCUUUUGCGGUACAGGAUGGACCCGCGUCUGAUUAGCUAGUUGGUAAGGUAACGGCUUACCAAGGCGACGAUCAGUAGCCGACCUGAGAGGGUGAUCGGCCACAUUGGAACUGAGACACGGUCCAAACUCCUACGGGAGGCAGCGAGGUGGGAAUAUUGCACAAGUGGGACGAAGCCUGAUGCAGCAACGCCGCGUGA